AAGUCGUAACAAGGUUUCCGUAGGUGAACCUGCGGAAGGAUCAUUAAAUAAUCAAUAAUUUUGGCUCGUCUAUUAUUAUCUAUUUACUGUGAACUGUAUUAUUACUUGACGCUUGAGGGAUGCUCCACUGCUAUAAGGAUAGGCGGUAGAGAUGUUAACCGAGUCAUAGUCAAGCUUAGGCUUGGUAUCCUAUUAUUAUUUACCAAAAGAAUUCAGAAUUAAUAUUGUAACAUAGACCUAAAAAAUCUAUAAAACAACUUUUAACAACGGAUCUCUUGGUUCUC
rnacentral:misc_RNA from 1 species